rnacentral:rRNA from 1 species
GGGAUGAAGCUACGAGGUAGUUGCAAAAAUCAGCUAGUCUAAGGUCUUAGAUUGGUCGUCUGACGUUAAAGCAGGCGGCUGGUUACGAUACGGCCAAAGUCUGGUGCACUUUUUGUGACGAGCAUCGCGACUGAAGCGAAACCUAGUGGAAAGGGUUCCUUGAAGGCAGAGCCGAGUGUUCUGUGACUUAGGUUCUCUGGAUACUUGUGAAUCGUUUCGGAUACCCGAGUAGUCGUCGUUAAGACUCGUGAAAUCUUUUCGUUUGGUCGGUCGAAAUGUCUGUUCUUGCUUGCAGGAAUGGGCGACACCUGAUUUAACGUUGAAGUGGAUCGAGAGACUACGAAGGAUCAGCGAUGUCCGAGGUGGCCACUCAUCCCACCCGUCUUGAAACACGGACCAAGGAGUCUAACAUGUGCGCGAGUUAUUGGGUGGUAAACCCAAAGGCGAAAUAAAAGUAAAGACUUCUUACGAAGUUUUAGAUACGAUCCUUGACUUAUGUCGAGGCGGAGUAUCGUCCCAUCUAUGCGGUUCGUCCGUUGGGUGGAGAAAGAGCGUAAAUGUUGGGACCCGAAAGAUGGUGAACUAUGCUCGAGCAGAACGAAGCCAGAGGAAACUCUGGUGGAGGUUCGUAGCGGUUCUGA